AGUGAACGCUGGCGGUAGGCCUAACACAUGCAAGUCGAACGGCAGCACAGUAAGAGCUUGCUCUUACGGGUGGCGAGUGGCGGACGGGUGAGGAAUACAUCGGAAUCUACUUUUUCGUGGGGGAUAACGUAGGGAAACUUACGCUAAUACCGCAUACGACCUACGGGUGGAAGCAGGAGAUCUUCGGACCUUGCGCGAUUGAAUGAGCCGAUGUCGGAUUAGCUAGUUGGCGGGGUAAAGGCCCACCAAGGCGACGAUCCGUAGCUGGUCUGAGAGGAUGAUCAGCCACACUGGAACUGAGACACGGUCCAGACUCCUACGGGAGGCAGCAGUGGGGAAUAUUGGACAAUGGGCGCAAGCCUGAUCCAGCCAUGCCGCGUGAGUGAAGAAGGCCUUCGGGUUGUAAAGCCCUUUUGUUGGGAAAGAAAAGCAGCAGGUUAAUCCCCCGCUGUUCUGACGGUACCCAAAGAAUAAGCACCGGCUAACUUCGUG
rnacentral:rRNA from 1 species